AUGCCAGCAAAAUCUGGCGUCGGGAUUGGCGUCCCGGAAUUUCACCGCGACAGAGACACGCCGCGAGCGUGUUUUUU
rnacentral:sRNA from 9 species